GUCUACGGCCAUGCCACCCUGAGCAAGCCUGAUCUUGUCUGAUCUUAGAAACUAAGCAGAGUCAGGCCUGGUUAGUACUUGGAUGGGAGACCACCUAGGAAGACCAGGUGCUGUAGACC
rnacentral:rRNA from 1 species